GUCGAGAAUCUUUCACAAUGGGGGCAACCCUGAUGGAGCGACGCCGCGUGGAGGAUAAGGUCUUCGGAUUGUAAACUCCUGUCAUGCGUGAACAAGGUUGCUUGGAUAAUACCUGAGCAAAUUGAUGGUAGCGCAAGAGGAAGAGACGGCUAACUCUGUGCCAGCAGCCGCGGUAAUACAGAGGUCUCAAGCGUUGUUCGGAAUCACUGGGCGUAAAGGGUGCGUAGGUGGCGUGGCAAGUCAGAUGUGAAAGCCCGGGGCUCAACCUCGGAACUGCAUCCGAUACUGCCAUGCUAGAGUACUGGAGGGGUGACUAGAAUUCUCGGUGUAGCAGUGAAAUGCGUAGAUAUCGAGAGGAAUACCAAAGGCGUAGGCAGGUCACUGGACAGUUACUGACACUGAGGCACGAAGGCCAGGGGAGCGAACGGGAUUAGAAACCCGAGUAGUCC
rnacentral:rRNA from 1 species